AGAACCACUUUAGAUACUAGUUUUCUCCAAACCAGUUUGAUUGAGCUGUCGUUUUUGAGACCUGUUAGUUCGCUGUUUGUCCAUCAAGACUGCAUACGGUCCUCAAUUGGAAUAAUAAUAACCAAGCAAACAGUGGUCCUCCAGAACCAGGAGUCGGACAAGAACUAUCGUGUUGUUAUAGGCAGUGUAAAAGCAGAAUGCUCUAGUCUAAAUGGUGACUCAUAGAUAUGCGUCUAAAAUUCACUUGUCCGUUCUGAGCAGCAGGGGGUGUUGCUUACAAGCACUACAAAGUGUAUGAAAAGAGAUCACACAAAACAAAGAACCUAUUAAUAACCAAUGGGAAAACAAAACACAAAGCAUUGGGCGGAGCCAAGUUUGCCUGUUGUAAAUCAAAGUAAUUCCCCUUUUAACCUCCAGUUGUAUAGAGAAUUCUUAUUGUAUUUUUUCUCAGAUGGGAGAGUGACAGAUUUAUCAAUAACAACAAUAAAGGAAUAUGUUGUAUAUCAUACUGGUAAUGUAGUAUUUGUUUCCCACCUUUUAGAAUAAUGCCUUUCAUUGCAUCAACAUUCACACAUUUUCCAUUUCAAGUGUAUGGGGUUACCUACCUAUAGGAAAAUAUAUUUGUAUUUGAUUAAUACUUUAAGUAACCCCAUAUUAACCCAAUAGCAAUGUUUAUACCAUUCAAAAGUCCUAACAAUAAUACUUUUCAAAACAUGUUUUAUGUUAACUUGUAUAUUAUUUAAAUACAUAUAGAGCUGGUAUAGAGCUGGUAAGUACCAUUUGUUGACAAUGUAGUACUUCUCCCAGUGUGUAAGAGACCACACACACCAGAACGGUGGUCACCCGAGCGAAGUAGUAGGCCGUUCCAUCAAUUACUUCCGCCGUGGGGUCAUAGGGUGCAGUGCCUGUUUUCUUUGCCAAUUUAACAUGUAGGAUCGUUGGAAAAUGACCAGAAAAUGCGACUUGAUAUUCUGGUCAGAGGCACUCUGUUGUACGCUCAGCUGACUGUCGUUUUGGUGUGUUCUACUUAAGGGUUCGGUUUUGGGGCUGUGAGUUGAACUCUUGACAGAUGUUGUGUACGAUAGUGGGCACCAGCUUAUGGAGGUCAUCAAAGUCCUCCAUGAAGAACGAGUGCUCCUUGACUGGCUCACUGGCUAUGUCUUCUAGCUGCUCCUGGGAAGUCCAAGCAAUACCAAUGGAGUAGGCAAUUAUACCUGUUUACACACACACACAAUACACACACCAUAUAUCAGUUCCUUGCUCCAUUCAAAUACUUAAAUUCAAAUGAACCCUUUCUCCAUCAAGGUUGUCUCUGGUGUGAUUAAAUGGAUGAAAGCAAUAAUGUGGAAAGUGAAACCUUGCUUUCAUUCACUCAAGUCACCCAAAUAAAAAUGUAGGAAAGGUGUAUUUUCAGUCUUCAAAUGUGGCAUCUGCCCUGCUACAAUUAUUUCCCACCCCCCAUUGUUCCCUCUUAGCCACUC
rnacentral:lncRNA from 13 species